rnacentral:rRNA from 1 species
AGCGCUUUGGAAAGAUUCUUCGGAUGAUUUCCUUUGUGACUGAGCGGCGGACGGGUGAGUAACGCGUGGGUAACCUGCCUCAUACAGGGGGAUAACAGUUAGAAAUGACUGCUAAUACCGCAUAAGACCACGGUACCGCAUGGUACAGUGGUAAAAACUCCGGUGGUAUGAGAUGGACCCGCGUCUGAUUAGGUAGUUGGUGGGGUAACGGCCUACCAAGCCGACGAUCAGUAGCCGACCUGAGAGGGUGACCGGCCACAUUGGGACUGAGACACGGCCCAGACUCCUACGGGAGGCAGCAGUGGGGAAUAUUGCACAAUGGAGGAAACUCUGAUGCAGCGACGCCGCGUGAAGGAUGAAGUAUUUCGGUAUGUAAACUUCUAUCAGCAGGGAAGAAAAUGACGGUACCUGACUAAGAAGCCCCGGCUAACUACGUGCCAGCAGCCGCGGUAAUACGUAGGGGGCAAGCGUUAUCCGGAUUUACUGGGUGUAAAGGGAGCGUAGACGGCACGGCAAGCCAGAUGUGAAAGCCCGGGGCUCAACCCCGGGACUGCAUUUGGAACUGCUGAGCUAGAGUGUCGGAGAGGCAAGUGGAAUUCCUAGUGUAGCGGUGAAAUGCGUAGAUAUUAGGAGGAACACCAGUGGCGAAGGCGGCUUGCUGGACGAUGACUGACGUUGAGGCUCGAAAGCGUGGGGAGCAAACAGGAU